UUAGCACUAGUGGGAGAUUGAUUAGCCCGCAUCGUAGUAGACUUCAUCCUACUACUUUGGAGGCUUUGAUGUGUGCUCGCACUUGGUUAUGGAACGAGAUAAAUGGUUCGUGUUCAAGCAUUGAUAGAGUUUCAUGUCCGACGAUGCUUGAUGAAGAAGAAGACCCAGAUGUUUCAGUUGCUUGAUAACUGAAGGAAGUCGGAGUUGCAUUAUUUCUGAUGAAGAAGAAGAUCCUAAUGUUUCAAUUUUUGCUUUGUGGUAACAGACUAAUCAGAGUUCUCAUUUAGUAUUAUUUCUGCUGCGACUGGUUUGUGUAUCUACUUUAUUAAGAUGUUCGUUUUCCAUUUGCUAAGUUGGUGUCUGCAUUUGUGUUU